rnacentral:rRNA from 1 species
UGCAGUCGAACGGAAAGGCCCUGCUUUUGUGGGGUGCUCGAGUGGCGAACGGCUGUGUAACACGUGAGUAACCUGCCCUUGACUUUGGGAUAACUUCAGGAAACUGGGGCUAAUACCGGAUAGGAGCUCCUGCUGCAUGGUGGGGGUUGGAAAGUUUCGGCGGUUGGGGAUGGACUCGCGGCUUAUCAGCUUGUUGGUGGGGUAGUGGCUUACCAAGGCUUUGACGGGUAGCCGGCCUGAGAGGGUGACCGGCCACAUUGGGACUGAGAUACGGCCCAGACUCCUACGGGAGGCAGCAGUGGGGAAUAUUGCACAAUGGGCGGAAGCCUGAUGCAGCAACGCCGCGUGCGGGAUGACGGCCUUCGGGUUGUAAACCGCUUUCGCCUGUGACGAAGCGUGAGUGACGGUAAUGGGUAAAGAAGCACCGGCUAACUACGUGCCAGCAGCCGCGGUGAUACGUAGGGUGCGAGCGUUGUCCGGAUUUAUUGGGCGUAAAGGGCUCGUAGGUGGUUGAUCGCGUCGGAAGUGUAAUCUUGGGGCUUAACCCUGAGCGUGCUUUCGAUACGGGUUGACUUGAGGAAGGUAGGGGAGAAUGGAAUUCCUGGUGGAGCGGUGGAAUGCGCAGAUAUCAGGAGGAACACCAGUGGCGAAGGCGGUUCUCUGGGCCUUUCCUGACGCUGAGGAGCGAAAGCGUGGGGAGCGAACAGGCUUAGAUACCCUGGUAGUCCACGCUGUAAACGGUGGGUACUAGGUGUGGGGUCCAUUCCACGGGUUCGGUGCCGUAGCUAACGCUUUAAGUACCCCGCCUGGGGAGUACGGCCGCAAGGCUAAAACUCAAAGGAAUUGACGGGGCCCCGCACAAGCGGCGGAGCAUGCGGAUUAAUUCGAUGC